rnacentral:rRNA from 1 species
CAGGUGUAGCAAUACAUGCUGACGAGCGGCGGACGGGUGAGUAACGCUUGGGAAUCUGCCUGUUAGUGGGGGACAACCCGGGGAAACUCGGGCUAAUACCGCAUACGCACUACGGUGGAAAGCCGGGGACCGCAAGGCCUGGCGCUAACAGAUGAGCCCAAGUCGGAUUAGCUAGUUGGUAGGGUAACGGCCUACCAAGGCGACGAUCCGUAAUUGGUCUGAGAGGACGACCAGUCACACCGGAACUGAGACACGGUCCGGACUCCUACGGGAGGCAGCAGUGGGGAAUAUUGGACAAUGGGGGAAACCCUGAUCCAGCGACGCCGCGUGGGUGAAGAAGGCCUGCGGG